CCUACGGGAGGCAGCAGUGGGGAAUCUUGCGCAAUGGGCGAAAGCCUGACGCAGCCAUGCCGCGUGAAUGAUGAAGGUCUUAGGAUUGUAAAAUUCUUUCACCGGGGACGAUAAUGACGGUACCCGGAGAAGAAGCCCCGGCUAACUUCGUGCCAGCAGCCGCGGUAAUACGAAGGGGGCUAGCGUUGCUCGGAAUUACUGGGCGUAAAGGGAGCGUAGGCGGAUAGUUUAGUCAGAGGUGAAAGCCCAGGGCUCAACCUUGGAAUUGCCUUUGAUACUGGCUAUCUUGAGUGUGGGAGAGGUAUGUGGAACUCCGAGUGUAGAGGUGAAAUUCGUAGAUAUUCGGAAGAACACCAGUGGCGAAGGCGACAUACUGGCCCAUUACUGACGCUGAGGCUCGAAAGCGUGGGGAGCAAACAGGAUUAGAUACCCUGGUAGUCCACGCUGUAAACGAUGAGUGCUAGUUGUCGGCAUGCAUGCAUGUCGGUGACGCAGCUACGCAUAAGACACUCCGCCGUCGGGGUAGGUACGGUCGGCGAAGAAGUUAAACGUAACGAAGGUAAGUUAGACGGCGUGAGACGUGCCGACGGACGACGACGAGGGAGGAGG
rnacentral:rRNA from 1 species